GAUCCAAACAAGGAAAAGGCCGUUUGUCGCCAGCUUCGCAAGAACCUUCACGACAAUGAGUGAGCAUCACUAGCGCUACCAACCAAUAUCGGUGGCUGAGAGCUCCGAAUAGAGUCCUUACUGUCGAAUUGCAGAAGAUGAAGAUGGAGGCUCAUGAGGAUGAGAUGAGGAGUUUGUGCGUGACUCUAAAACCGCCUGAUCUAAACCUUUUUCCGAUGCGAUACCUUUUCUAUGGUCUUAGAUUCACGCACAAACUCGUAAUCUGUCUUUUCAUUUCCAUUCUAGGAUUUCCCGUUCAAUCGAUAUUUUCGUAUUUCAGUUUCCAUUUACAUUUUUCCUAUCCUUCUCUUCAUUUUGCAAAUCUAGGGUUGUGGUUCGGGAAGAAAAUGCUGUCUGUUUCAGAUUCGCUUACUAGAAUUGAUGGACCUGGAUUCUCAGGACUGCAGCUUAAGUUUCUCGAGACUCACUUUAUUCCAGAUCAAAGGCUUGCUUUGGGCAAAUAUAAAGGUAUUGACUGCCACAAGCUGCAUUCUUUUAAUUAUUGUUGAAUGGACUCUUUAACUGUUAUUAUGGGCAGGGAACUGAAUGUGGAUCUCAUAUUUCUAUAUACUAUCUUCUAGUUAAACUCUAAAUUAUAUCAACCUUUUCUAUCUUCUGCAUCCCCUGAGUUUACUAGAAAGAUGAAGUGGAGGAUUUUGGAACUAUGGUAGCAAAUUUGCUGAUGAGCAAUUACAAUUUGGAGAAUAUAUGCCAGAUAAUAUCAAAGAUAAUGGAAGAGAAGUUGAGUUAAUAUAUUGUAACUUUUUAACAAAGUGGUUAUGAAAUGCCUUUUUUUUGUUACCUUUAGCAUCCUCACAAUUGCAACAGUUUAUACUACAUUGACAUUAGUGUUUAGGAUGCUCGUCAUUAUUCUGAUAGGAGUUUUUUGAAGUUUUCUUUCUAGGGUAUGGGAGGUGUUCUGGACAGCUUUGUUGUGGCCAGGAUUGAGUAAAGCCAGUGAGAUUGCUUCAUGUUUGUUUGUAGUAUGCAGACAAUAGAGUGGUUUUUGUGCAGCUGAUGAGAUUGAGUUAAAGCAUCAGAGGAAUGUUCUUCUUUGUCUAGUAGUUGUUUUUACACCAGGCCUCUUAAUCCAAGAGUGCUCAUAUCCUUGUGGGACAGUCAGGAAAGUUGCAUCAGUUGGUGCUGAACUUAGGUUCUGGGAUUGGCACUUUCCAUAUUAUUUGCUUGUGUUAACCUCUGGGUGUUUCCCUUCAGCUAAAGCAGUUUUUGACACAGUUGCAGAGAGGGAUCUUUUGAGGAGGAAGGUGGAGGAGUAUGGGAAUGAGGAACAGGUUUGUUUCCAAGGUGUCAGGGCUACUGAUAGUUUUACCAUUUGGAAAAGCAUUUGGAAUGGGUGGCCAGUUUUUGGGAGAGACACAUUUAAUUCUUUUUUUGAAGAUGUGACUAAGGUGAGGUUUUGGUUGUUUGGGUGGAGAAGGGACUUUAAAGAGGUUUCUCUUAAUCCUUUUGUUAGGGUUAUGAGUAAUGUGGAUUGGAGGAUGAAUGUAGGGGAUGGGCUUGGAAUAAUUACUUCAGACUCCUGGUUUCUUUUGGCCAUUUCUGUGAUUGCAAGUUAGAGUUGGUUAAUGAGUAUUUGGGCCAGACCCAUGAACUUGUUGAAGAGACUGGGGUAGAUGAUAGAAGGGAAGUUUUCUGCUGAGUCUUAUUGUAAGGUAGCGGUGGGCGAUUGUGGAAUUCCCAUCCCUGGAAGGAUAUGCAUAAAAGGGAUUUGAAACAGUGAUCACUUGUUGGUGCAUUGAUUAGUUGUGCCUCAUAUAUAGGGUCUCUUUUCCAGCUUGUAGGAGUUUGUGCCCAGAUACAAGAGCAACAUGGAGAGCUGAUCAAAUAUGCCUCCUUAAAACUCUUUGCAAGGAGAAUAAUAGGAGGGUGUUUAAGGGGAAGUGCAAGAAUCUGGAAUCUAAUUUUUAUUUGCUCAUCUCAUCAGUGGUCAGGACCAAUGUAUGAAAGGGGCUGGUACCUCCUCUCUUUCUUCAGCUUGUGCAUAAGUAAACACUUUGGACGGGUAGGUAAGAAAUUAUUGGGUCACUUGUGCUGCGGUAAAAUAAGAUGGGAUAUAUCAGCAUUGCCUCCUUGCUCAUCUGCCAGAGUGAACUCCUUCCCUCUGCUAAGUUUGCUCCUAUUUGGAAUAUAGGGAUUUGAUUCAUGCUGAUCAUUCUAUCGUUACAUAAAUCGAGCCAAGUCAUGGGCCAGUGACUCCUCUGACAGACAUGAUUUUUUGUCUGCUCUUGUAUGAUCUUGACAAAACCUCUGCCUGCAUCUUGGGGAAAGCUUGAGGCUAAGGAGAACAUAGCGAUGAUAAUAUGAUACUUGGAAGUUUGAUGGUUACUAGUGUAGUGCACUAUUAGUGAAAUUUGAAGAGCUCUUCCACAAUAUCAUCUAAAAUUAUUGGUUUAUUUUGGUAGAUAUUUAUUGAGUUUUUAUUUUUAAUUUCUAAUUCCAGCCUUAUAGUUGGAACCGUAAGGUAUAGUCACUGUAAAAUUGAAAUUUUAUUCUAUAAAUCUGUGAGAUUCUAACUGAGUUUUGCAUCCUUCUAUGUCCA